UACGUAGGGUGCGAGCGUUAAUCGGAAUUACUGGGCGUAAAGCGUGCGCAGGCGGUUUUGUAAGCCAGAUGUGAAAGCCCCGGGCUUAACCUGGGAAUGGCAUUUGGGACUGCAAGGCUGGAGUGUGGCAGAGGAGACUGGAAUUCCUGGUGUAGCAGUGAAAUGCGUAGAUAUCAAGAGGAACACCUGCGGCGAAGGCGGGUUGCUGGGCUGACACUGACGCUGAGGCGCGAAAGCUAGGGGAGCGAACGGG
rnacentral:rRNA from 1 species